rnacentral:lncRNA from 1 species
GGCAACUCACUUGCUACAGUUGAUGAUCACAUCUUCUGGCAUAAUCCUCUUCUUCAGCAUGCCCAUUUUGGGGUGGUCACCACGUCCACGGAACAGCCCUGGAGGCUCAGUUUUGAAGUUGCCUAUUUUCUCCCUGUGCCCAUCAAGGAUGCAGUAUCCAUACUCCUCCUGGAUCUUAUCUGCCUCCUCCUGCUUCUCCUCUUUGGAGAGUGCUUUCCGUGCCUCAUUUUUGUCCACAAAGUACUUAUGAAUCUCCCUAAAGUCACACUUGUCCAACUGCUUGAUUAUCUCUUGUUCCUGAGGGGUCAUCUCCUUUCUCCAGUCAUUAAAAAAGUUAUUCUGGAAGAUCUCUUUAGUCGUGUACUCGUGAUCAAGCAUUUUUGCAUAGAAAGUGGCAAUUUCCUCUGUGGCCAGGCUCAGCUUCAGGGGUUUACCAUCAUAAUAAAAUUGCACAUCAUCAGGCAGAGGCUCAUAGAGGGGGACAAAGUAGGGUCCUUUGUGCUCCAGUUGUUUCCACUUCACCCCAUCGUUUGUCUUCUCCUCUUCCCACCUCAUAGCCCUGUACUGGGAGGCAUACAGAACCCCC